ACCUUGCUGACGAGUGCCAAGUAGCACGAAACUCUAGUGCAAGGU
rnacentral:hammerhead_ribozyme from 1 species